AUGUUAGCGGCGGACGGGUGAGUAACACGUGGGUAACCUACCUAUAAGACUGGGAUAACUCCGGGAAACCGGGGCUAAUACCGGAUAANAUUUUGAACCGCAUGGUUCAAUAGUGAAAGACGGUUUCGGCUGUCACUUAUAGAUGGACCCGCGCCGUAUUAGCUAGUUGGUAAGGUAACGGCUUACCAAGGCGACGAUACGUAGCCGACCUGAGAGGGUGAUCGGCCACACUGGAACUGAGACACGGUCCAGACUCCUACGGGAGGCAGCAGCC
rnacentral:rRNA from 1 species